AUUGAACGCUGGCGGCAUGCCUUACACAUGCAAGUCGAACGGUAACGGGCCUUCGGGUGCCGACGAGUGGCGAACGGGUGCGUAAUACAUCGGAACGUGCCCGAUCGUGGGGGAUAACGAGGCGAAAGCUUUGCUAAUACCGCAUACGAUCUACGGAUGAAAGCAGGGGACCGCAAGGCCUUGCGCGGACGGAGCGGCCGAUGGCAGAUUAGGUAGUUGGUGGGAUAAAAGCUUACCAAGCCGACGAUCUGUAGCUGGUCUGAGAGGAUGAUCAGCCACACUGGGACUGUGACACGGCCCAGACUCCUACGGGAGGCAGCAGUGGGGAAUUUUGGACAAUGGGCGCAAGCCUGAUCCAGCCAUGCCGCGUGCAGGAUGAAGGCCUUCGGGUUGUAAACUGCUUUUGUACGGAACGAAAAGCCUUCUUUUAAUACAGGAGGGUCAUGACGGUACCGUAAGAAUAAGCACCGGCUAACUACGUG
rnacentral:rRNA from 1 species